rnacentral:rRNA from 1 species
AGAGUUUGAUCCUGGCUCAGAACUAACGCUUGUGGCGUGUCUUAGUCAUGCAAGUCGAACGAGAAAGCCUUCUUCGGAGGGUGAGUAGAGUGGCGGACGGGUGAGUAACACGUGGGUAACCUGCCUUUCAGUUGGGGAUAACACCCCUAACGGGGUGCUAAUACCGGAUAAUAAGGCGCGACAUAAGUCGUCGCCUUCAAAGGUGGCCUCUGACUUAAGCUGCCGCUGGAAGAUGGGCCCGCGCCGUAUUAGCUUGUUGGUGGGGUAACGGCCUACCAAGGCGACGAUGCGUAGCCGGCCUGAGAGGGUGAUCGGCCACACUGGAACUGAGACAAGGUCCAGUCCCCUACGGGGGCCAGCAGUCUAGAAACUUGCACAAUCAACGAAAGUUGGAUGCAGCGACGCCACGUGGAGGAUGAAGCCCCUCGGGGUGUAAACUCCUGUCAGGAGGGAAGAAGGCGUGACCGUUAAUAGCGGUCAUUGCUUGACGGUACCUCCAGAGGAAGCUCCGGCUAACUACGUGCCAGCAGCCGCGGUAAUACGUAGGGAGCGAGCGUUGUUCGGAUUUACUGGGCGUAAAGGGCAGGUAGGCGGGCGCGUAAGUCGGUUGUGAAAUCCUCUGGCUUAACCAGAGAAUUGCAGCCGAAACUACACGUCUUGAGUCCAGCAGAGGGAAUCGGAAUCCUAGGUGUAGCGGUGAAAUGCGUAGAUAUCUAGGAGAACACCAGUGGCGAAGGCGGAUUCCUGGGCUGGCACUGACGCUGAGCUGCGAAAGCGUGGGUAGCGAACAGGAUUAGAUACCCUGGUAGUCCACGCCGUAAACGAUGGGUGCUAGGUGUUGGAGGACAUUGACCCCUUCAGUGCCGUAGCUAACGCAUUAAGUACCCCGCCUGGGGAGUACGGCCGCAAGGCUGAAACUCAAAGGAAUUGACGGGGACCCGCACAAGCAGUGGAGCAUGUGGCUCAAUUCUGCAACGCGAAGAACCUUACCUGGGCUUGACAUCUGGGGAAUUCUUUGGAAACAGAGAAGUGCCUUCGGGAGCCCCAAGACAGGUGCUGCAUGGCUGUCGUCAGCUCGUGUCGUGAGAUGUUGGGUUAAGUCCCGCAACGAGCGCGACCCUUGUCCUUAGUUGCCAGCGGGUAAUGCCGGGAACUCUAAGGAUACUGCCUGUUUCAAGCAGGAGGAAGGUGGGGAUGACGUCAAGUCAUCAUGGCUCUUACGUCCAGGGCUGCACACGUGCUACAAUGGCUGGUACAAUGGGCUGCGAUACCGCGAGGUGGAGCCAAUCCCAAAAAAACCAGUCUCAGUUCGGAUUGAAGUCUGCAACUCGACUUCAUGAAG